rnacentral:rRNA from 1 species
GGCGAGUGAACCGGGAAGAGCUCAAAUUUGAAAUCUGGCAGUCUUCGAUUGUCCGAGUUGUAAUCUAUAGAAGCGUUUUCCGUGCUGAACUGUGUAUAAGUCCCUUGGAACAGGGUAUCAAAGAGGGUGACAAUCCCGUACUUUACACAAUCAUCAGUGCUCUGUGAUACGUUCUCUACGAGUCGAGUUGUUUGGGAAUGCAGCUCAAAAUGGGUGGUAAAUUCCAUCUAAAGCUAAAUAUUGGCGAGAGACCGAUAGCGAACAAGUACCGUGAGGGAAAGAUGAAAAGCACUUUGGAAAGAGAGUUAAACAGUACGUGAAAUUGUUGAAAGGGAAACGAAAUUCAUGAAUCAUGUUUAUUGGACUCAGCCGUUCUUCGGUGUACUUCCUUUAAACGGGUCAACAUCAGUUUUGUCCGAUGGAUAAAGGUAGUAGGAAGGUGGCUCUCUCGGGAGUGUUAUAGCCUAUUGCUGCAUACAUUGGAUGAGACUGAGGACUGCAGCUUGCCUUUAUGGCCGGGGUUCGCCCACGUUCAAGCUUAGGAUGUUGACAUAUUCUCGAAUCACGACCCGUCUUGAAACACGGACC